GAACUUAAGCCGGGUUCUAAUGAGGGACAGACAGUUGAGGAUGAUUAACAAGGUGGACAGGCAGUGUUGGAAAGGUUACUUUGGAAAUGUUAUAGGUUACAGAUUACAAGUUACCGCUGCUGAGGCACGAAAGGAGAAUGAGCUCAUGGGGAUCACAGGUAGAUCUGGCUGAGGAGUUUAGAGAGGGACUUUCCCUUUUGCGCUCGUCGGCGGUGAACGAGAGAGAGCCUCGGGAGGAUGAUGUUAUAUCUUUAACACUUUCCGAUACUGAGGUUAGUGCUCUGCUGGGUUAUACCCAGGAAGAGCAGGAGAUGUCCGAGGAUGGCGAAGAGGCUGAGCCUUCUCAAUCCUCCUGCCCUGCGUAUGUAGAGCUGUUGGAGGUUAUGGAUCGCACCACAGCAAAGUUGGACUUGCCAUGGAAGCGCGCUAGCAAGGUGACGCCGCAAGGUCGACUCGACGAGUGUUAUCUUAGCACUCCAGCUCAGGUGAGCCUCCCAUUUCUGCCUGAUCUCCAUGCAGAGAUCAAAAAGGAAUGGAAUAGGCCAUUUUCUUCUCGCAUCCAUCGGUUUCCGCCUAAGAGUUAUGCCAACAUUGAGACGAUGCGCGAAAGAGGCUAUAAGAGGAUGCCCCCUGUAGAAGAGCUAUCUUUCUGUGGGGGAGACAUCCUCUCUUUAUCUCGCUCCUUGCUAUCUAAGCCCAUUCAGGAUACAUCUCGCUUAAAUGGCAAGGCAUACACAGCAGCAGGUCAGGCUGUGACUUCAUUGCACAAGAUGGCGGUGCUUCAAGCAUAUCAGGCUGAUCUGCUAAUAGACCUGGAUAAAGGCGAGGGCCUUUCUCCUGAUCAGGUAGCCGAGCUGCGCCACACCACAGAUCUCUCUCUCUGUGCUACCAAGCAGGCCGCCUCCGCCGUGGGCAGGUCUAUGGCGGCCAUGGUGGUAAUGGAGAAACAUCUGUGGGUGAACCUGGCAGACAUCGGGAAGAAAGAAAAGGCUUUCUUAUCGAUGCUCAGGUUUUGCCUUCCGAACUUUUCGGU
ensembl:lncRNA